rnacentral:rRNA from 1 species
CCUACGGGUGGCAGCAGUAGGGAAUAUUGCACAAUGGGCGAAAGCCUGAUGCAGCAACGCCGCGUGUGCGAUGAAGGCCUUCGGGUCGUAAAGCACUUUUCUGGGAGAUGAGAAAGGACAGUAUCUCAGGAAUAAGUCUCGGCUAACUACGUGCCAGCAGCCGCGGUAAAACGUAGGAGGCAAGCGUUAUCCGGAUUCACUGGGUGUAAAGCGCGUGCAGGCGGUUCGGUAAGUUGGGCGUGAAAUCUCCUGGCUCAACUAGGGGAAGUCGUUCGAUACUACCGGGCUUGAGAGUGGUAGAGGAAGAUGGAAUUCCCGGUGUAGUGGUGAAAUGCGUAGAUAUCGGGAGGAACACCAGUGGCGAAGGCGAUCUUCUGGACCAUUACUGACGCUCAGACGCGACAGCUAGGGUAGCAAACGGGAUUAGAUACCCCUGUAGUC